rnacentral:rRNA from 1 species
CCUACGGGAGGCAGCAGUGGGGAAUUUUGGACAAUGGACGCAAGUCUGAUCCAGCCAUGCCGCGUGCGGGAAGAAGGCCUUCGGGUUGUAAACCGCUUUUGUCAGGGAAGAAACGGGUUUCUCUAAUACAGAGACCUAAUGACGGUACCUGAAGAAUAAGCACCGGCUAACUACGUGCCAGCAGCCGCGGUAAUACGUAGGGUGCAAGCGUUAAUCGGAAUUACUGGGCGUAAAGCGUGCGCAGGCGGUUAUGCAAGACAGAGGUGAAAUCCCCGGGCUCAACCUGGGAACUGCCUUUGUGACUGCAUAGCUAGAGUACGGUAGAGGGGGAUGGAAUUCCGCGUGUAGCAGUGAAAUGCGUAGAUAUGCGGAGGAACACCGAUGGCGAAGGCAAUCCCCUGGACCUGUACUGACGCUCAUGCACGAAAGCGUGGGGAGCAAACAGGAUUAGAUACCCUGGUAGUCCACGCCCUAAACGAUGUCAACUGGUUGUUGGGAGGGUUUCUUCUCAGUACGAAGCUAACGCGUGAAGUUGACCGCCUGGGGAGUACGGCCGCAAGGUUGAACUUCAAAGGAAUUGAGGCGNGNGNGNGCGAGCGACGACGAGGGAGAGG